ensembl:lncRNA
GAAAGGGAAGUCGCUCAGUCGUGUCCGACCCUCAGCGACCCCAUGGACUGCAGCCAUCCAUCAUCAUAUAACCUGUAAGUGUUGAAGAUGGGAGAAAUACCACACAUAGGACUAUUUUGCUGAUGCUACUGUUGCUAAGCCGCUUCAGUUAUGUCUGACUCUGUGUGACCUCAUAGAAGGCAGUCCACCAGGCUCCUCCAUCCAUGGGAUUUUCCAUGCAAGAGUACUGGAGUGGGGUGCCAUCGCCUUCUCUAAGAACAUCUUAAUAUUGCAUCUAUUCUUAGCACAGUUGUCAGUCAGGCACAGGUGAAGGCAAAGAGGAGCACUCAGAGUUUCUUACAACCCCACAGAUAAUAGAAACAUCCAUGAACAGCCAAGGACAUGAGAACACAUUGUCUGCAUGUGACUCUAUCACCAAAGUCCUCAGUCUCCCAUCUCCCAGACUGAGCACUGAUGUUUCAUAUAUUUUCCAAGGGAAAGGCUCAUCCCAAAAGUCAGGUCUGCUAAGAGUCCCAGGAUGUGAGUCAAGAAGCGGACAGCUACUGGAGAAUAAAGUUCAUUGCAGUUCAAAGCUUUGCCAUAGGGACUUAUUCCACCAGAUACAUGGGCAAAACCAUGGGAUAGAAAUAAUGUAUAUUCAGGAAAACAGAAAUCACCAGGAGCAGUGCAGAGUGAAACAGGAAGACCAGAAGUAAUGAGAGCAAAAAAAAAUAAACAGAAGAAGAAAGGUUUAGGGAUGGUAUCACGUAUACAGCUAGUCUAACCACCACAUACAGAAAAGGAAAUUUGGGACAGAUGGCUGCAACCACUUAGCUCAGUUAGCAAAACCCAGCCAUUUCUUCCCCAAGGAUGUCCUGAAACCUACUAGAUGACAGAAGCAUUGGAUCCAGAUCAUAGAGCACAAGACGCUGGAAGAGAGACACGAAAACGAAGUGUUCAAUGCUAUGAUGGACGAGGAGUUGAUUCAAGGCACAUGGAAUGCUGAACUCUAAAGAGAAGAAGGUGAAUGCAAUGGUUAACCCUCAAUUCUAUCUCACAGUCAUCAUAAUUAGUGGAGACGAUGCCUCGCCUUUUGCAUAGAGUACAGCAUGAUUUUAACUUGGAAACCACCUGACCAUCUGAGCGUAAGAUUCCUCAUCAGUAAUACUAGAGUGAGCGCUGAGGUUAUGUACAAAUUCUUCUGUUACCAUGAUAUCACAUUAUUAUGGCUGUCAAACAUAGAACCAACAAGAUGUACCUGAUUUGCUCCACAAUUAUCAAGUUUCC